rnacentral:rRNA from 1 species
AGCUAUAUGAAUAUAUAUUUAGUUAUUUCUGCCCAGUGAUUUUUUAACGGCCGCAGUACUUUGACUGUGCUAAGGUAGCAUAAUCAAUUGACUUUUAAUUGAAGUCUGGAAUGAAUGGGAAAAUGGGAAAAAACUGUCUUAAAUAAAAUUUUAUGAAAUUACUAUGAAGGUGAAAAUACCUUCUUUUUUAAAAAAGACGAGAAGACCCUUAGAGUUUAUUUGUUGGGGUGACAAAUAAACUAACUUUAUUUAAUGAAAGAAAAAACUACCUUAGGGAUAACAGCAUAAUUUUUUUUUAAGAUUGUGACCUCGAUGUUGGACUAGGAAAAUAAUAAUUAGAAAUUAAAUUUUUAAGUUCUGUUCGAACUUCAUCUCCU